rnacentral:rRNA from 1 species
UACAGAGGGGGCAAGCGUUGUUCGGAAUUACUGGGCGUAAAGGGCGCGUAGGCGGCCUGCUAAGUCGGACGUGAAAUCCCCGGGCUCAACCCGGGAACUGCGUCCGAUACUGGUAGGCUUGAAUCCGGGAGAGGGAUGCGGAAUUCCAGGUGUAGCGGUGAAAUGCGUAGAUAUCUGGAGGAACACCGGUGGCGAAGGCGGCAGCCUGGACCGGUAUUGACGCUGAGGCGCGAAAGCCAGGGGAGCAAACGGG